GAUGAACGCUCGCGGGAGGCCUAACACAUGCAAGCCGAGCGGUAGAGUUUCUUCGGAAACUUGAGAGCGGCGCACGGGUGCGUAACACGUGUGCAACCUACCUUUAUCUGGGGGAUAGCCUUUCGAAAGGAAGAUUAAUACCCCAUAAUAUAAUGAUUGGCAUCAAUUAUUAUUGAAAACUCCGGUGGAUAGAGAUGGGCACGCGCAAGAUUAGAUAGUUGGUGAGGUAACGGCUCACCAAGUCAAUGAUCUUUAGGGGUCCUGAGAGGGAGAUCCCCCACACUGGUACUGAGACACGGACCAGACUCCUACGGGAGGAAGCAGUGAGGAAUAUUGGACAAUGGGUGAGAGCCUGAUCCAGCCAUCCCGCGUGAAGGAUGACGGUCCUAUGGAUUGUAAACUUCUUUUGUACAGGGAUAAACCUACCCUCGUGAGGGUAGCUGAAGGUACUGUACGAAUAAGCACCGGCUAACUCCGUG
rnacentral:rRNA from 1 species